rnacentral:rRNA from 1 species
UACGUAGGGUGCGAGCGCUAAUCGGAAUUACUGGGCGUAAAGCGUGCGCAGGCGGUUUUGUAAGCCAGAUGUGAAAGCCCCGGGCUCAACCUGGGAAUGGCAUUUGGGACUGCAAGGCUUGAGUGCGGCAGAGGAGACUGGAAUUCCUGGUGUAGCAGUGAAAUGCGUAGAUAUCAGGAGGAAUACCGAUGGCGAAGGCAGGUCUCUGGGCUGACACUGACGCUCAUGCACGAAAGCGUGGGGAGCAAACAGG